rnacentral:lncRNA from 1 species
UACCAUACAGUAGAUGAGCUAUCAAGAAUUCGCUCGUCUUAGUGAAUAAUUUUUAUGUUUGAUAUCUGUCCUCUUAGAUACUUCAUUGGAAUUGACGUUUCUCCUACUUCUGGUGGCUUCUUUAUUUCCGAAGAGAAGUAUAUUCAGGAUCUUCUCGCUCAUGCUGCUCUUAAUGAUAGGGCCAUUGUUGACAAUACCAUGGAGCUCAACGUCCACCUUCGUGCUUCUGAAAGUGAGCCCUUGUUUGAUCUGACGCGCUACCGUCAUCUUGUUGGGAGUCUUUCAGAGGUCACUUGUCCACACAUUUCAUAUCACGUCAUUCCAAGUCAGUUUGUUUCUGCUCUCACUUUGAUCCACUUGAGUCACCUUCCAUGUAUUCCAUGAUACAUUUGUGGAACUAUCUCUCACCUAUGCUAUAGUUCUACGAUAUCUUUGUGGAACUAUAUCUUCUUCCUAUGCUCAAGCUUGUUCGUUCCUUUGUAAUUAUUGUCUUUCUAAUUAUUGUGUUUUUCUUGAUGAUUUUCUCAUUGCCCGGAAGACAAAGAAACAGACAUCGCUUUUCCCUUUGAGUGCAAAGGUUGAGUUGCAAGCUAUGACUUCAUUGACAACGAAGGCGACUUGGUUAUGAUGGUUGCUUGAGGAGUUUGGUGUUUUUGGCACUAGACCUACUCAUCCCUUGUUAGACCGUACAAAUAUAAUCAGUAUUGCGCGUAGCCCUUUGAAGCAUGAGCUCACCAAACAAAUUGGUGUUGAUGCGCCCUUUGAAUGGUCCAGUGUGCAGGAUCAAAUAAUUGAUGUUUAGUUUGUGCCUUCCGGUUUACAGUCGGUCGAUUUCUACACGGAGACUCAAAUAGAGAACAGCACGGUUCUCUCUCCUAAGUUAGUGUUCUUGAUCCACCAUGACCUCGAACAUUUUGGUGUUUCUAUCACUACAUUACCAUGGAACUCAACGUCCACCUUUGUGCUUCCGACAGAGAGCCUUUGUUCUAUGUAACACGCUACCGUCAUCUUGUCGGGAGUCUUGUCAGAUGUCACAUGUCCACACAUUUCAUAUCAUGUUGUCAUUCCAAGUCAGCUUGUUUCUGCUCUCACUUUAAGUGUUCUAUGAUAUCUUUGUGGAACUAUCUCUCACUGUUUCUCUUCUUCCUAUGCUCAAGUUCGCUCGUCCCUUUCUAAUUAUUGUGUUCCGACCAUGUGAAGCAUGAGCUUACCAAGCACAUUAAUGUUGAUGCCUCCUUCGUGCAAAUCCCGUGCGGGAUCAGAUUAUUACUCUUCAAUAUGUACCUUUCGAUUUACUGUUGGUUGGUUUCUUCAUAAAGGUUUAGACAGGAGCGCAACACAUCUUUUAUCUCUCCAAGCCAUAGGGCCCAACAGUUGUCGCACCUCAUUGAACAAGCACGUCAUGUCAUCCCGAGUAGUACAUCCAUGUGAAGACAACAAAUCUGCCCACAACCGUUCGUCGUCGCGGCUAAGCACAAGCAUAGGGUGCAUUAUUCCUUUCUCCUCCAUGUGUCCUCUUCCGCCUUUCUCGCUUCCACUAAUGCCAUCCCCUCACCACUCAACUCCACGUCCAAAAGCUAAAUUGUCGGUCCGCUCCCGAUACCGUUUUCACCCCUUCCACCACAACCCUCGUGCACUCUCUGCUCCCUGCCUGUACGGUUUGCUCUGUCACUGUCUCGGUCCCACAACUCGUGUUCCCCCGGAGGGCGCCACUAAAGCCGAACGCUCGCGCACCACCUAUCGGCGGAGCAGGAGCCAGGGCAGUCGGCACCGCAAUGACUAACCCACAUGAUGCGUGCAAGACGCUACCUGUCGCCGGGGCCAAGGACAACCAACAAGGGAACAUGGCAUGCCACAUCAAGUCAAUGGCACAUAACCUGCGAACAGGGGAAGGACACCAAACCGGAUCGACGAGGAACAAAGAUUGCACAACUUCGACGCCUACUUCUUUCAAUUUUAGUUUCAUAGCCCGGUGCUUCUUCAUCAACCUCUUUAGUUGAGCCCCUGACUACACUGGUGGUUACUCAACCUUGGUGUCUUUUGGUCCUCCAUCAACAAAUUUUGCAACUUCACUAGUGGACAAUUUGUACAAAAGAAGAGAAGACAAGGGAAAUAUGUUUGGUCUUUUCACUAGUUUUCAACAAUAAAGCACACCAGAGCCAAUCAGAAAUUCAUUCACUUCAAACACUUAUAAGACACAAUAAGUCGUAAAUGAUAAAUCUUUUUGGAAUUUUUGGGUUUUGCAACUUAAACACAAAGAUGAAAAAAAUGAAAANCCACUAAUGCCAUCCCCUCACCACUCAACUCCACGUCCAAAAGCUAAAUUGUCGGUCCGCUCCCGAUACCGUUUUCACCCCUUCCACCACAACCCUCGUGCACUCUCUGCUCCCUGCCUGUACGGUUUGCUCUGUCACUGUCUCGGUCCCACAACUCGUGUUCCCCCGGAGGGCGCCACUAAAGCCGAACGCUCGCGCACCACCUAUCGGCGGAGCAGGAGCCAGGGCAGUCGGCACCGCAAUGACUAACCCACAUGAUGCGUGCACGACGCUACCUGUCGCCGGGGCCAAGGACAACCAACAAGGGAACAUGGCAUGCAACAUCAAGUCAAUGGCACAUAACCUGCGAACAGGGGAAGGACACCAAACCGGAUCGACGAGGAACAAAGAUUGCAC